rnacentral:snoRNA from 1 species
AAGACUAUACUUUCAGGGGUCAUUUCUAUAGUUUGUUAAAAUAAUAAAAUAUGCAAUAUUUUUCAUUUUGAAUUCCACACAGCCACACAGAAUGCCUUCACUGGU